UACGUAGGGUGCAAGCGUUGUCCGGAUUUAUUGGGCGUAAAGAGCUCGUAGGCGGCUUGUCGCGUCGUCCGUGAAAACUUGGGGCUCAACCCCAAGCUUGCGGUCGAUACGGGCAGGCUAGAGUUCGGUAGGGGAGACUGGAAUUCCUGGUGUAGCGGUGAAAUGCGCAGAUAUCAGGAGGAACACCGGUGGCGAAGGCGGCUCUCUGGGCCUUACCUGACGCUGAGGAGCGAAAGCGUGGGUAGCGAACAGG
rnacentral:rRNA from 1 species